GUGGGUAUAGCUCAGUGGUAGAGCACAUGCUUAGCAUACAUGAGGUCCUGGGUUCAAUCCCCAGUACCUCCA
rnacentral:tRNA from 1 species